UUCUUCACCUUUGCUUUUCUUUGCAGGAACCGGAACAGUGCUCUCUGUGGGUUCCUCUAGUUUGCGUUUACGCCCCUCCUUAAUUUCCUCUUCAUCCUUAUGUUUGUCCUUUUUCUUCUUCUUCUCCUUCUUCUCCUUGUCUACGAGAGCGGUCUCCUUCUCUGCCACAGCAGGUUCAGUGUCAAGCGCAGCAGCAGUGCUUGCAACAAUAGAAUCCCCACCUGCAGACAAAACCACAUUUCUCAUCCAUUCUUGCGGAGUAUUCUCAGUGGGCUUCCCAUGCUUAUCCAAUUUCCCUUCGGCAAUCAAUUUCUUCUUCAUGGACGCCCUUGGUCCCAAUCCCCACUUCCUUGGGUAAGUAUCCCGAUCCAUUACCACCCUCUUAAUCUUUGCCACCACACCAUGAUCACAAGUUGCCAUCACAGCAGUGGUCAUCUCAGCAAUUCCCAAUGCAAUGGCUUCUCCUUUGGUAGUCAUCAGCA